rnacentral:rRNA from 1 species
UGAGCCUAGGUCGGAUUAGCUAGUUGGUGAGGUAAUGGCUCACCAAGGCUACGAUCCGUAACUGGUCUGAGAGGAUGAUCAGUCACACUGGAACUGAGACACGGUCCAGACUCCUACGGGAGGCAGCAGUGGGGAAUAUUGGACAAUGGGCGAAAGCCUGAUCCAGACAGGCCGCGUGUGUGAAGAAGGUCUUCGGAUUGUAAAGCAAAAGAGUGGGAGGAAGGGCAUUAACCUAAUACGUUAGUGUUUGACGUA